AGGUGAGAAGUAAACAUGAUUUACAAGCUGUUGAUGACCUGUCAUGCGAGUUUUGGGGUGUUUGCUAACAGCAGGUUCCCAGAGAAACAUAGUAAAAUCAUCAGAACCUGAAACUAAUCUCUCAGGGCCAUUGCCUUUCAUUUUGUUGUAUCUUUCUAGAGCAACCUUUUUCAUUUCCUCUGGCGAAGAAUAUGUGUUGCCAGUAUGGUCAAAAGCUCCAGCACGAAGAACAUAUUCAGUGCUCAAAGUCAUGGAGUUUACCCGAUUCCCAUGACCCUUCAAUUCCCGAAUUAACUUCCCCUGUGAAGUCUCCCAGACUUUGAUGGUACAAUCUUUGGAGCCAGUAUAAAUUACUCCAUCUCCACCCCAUUUCACACAAGUUAUUCCAUCUUUAUGACCAGUGAGACAGAUAACACAUUUCCUUAAUGAAACAUCCCAUAUGCGUGCAUCCUGAUCUUCGCUAGCACUAACAAACCGACGACAUGGGGCAUUCAAGUGGACCGGUUCCCAAGAGAUAGCAGUAAUCCAUUGUUUGUGGCCCACAAGUGGACUGCCUGAUGGCUUUCCUGUCUGAGGAUCCCAACACUGGAGCUCUCCAGCCUUGCUCCCACUCACGAGAUGUUUACCAUCCGGUGACCAUGCAACACAAAGAACCCAAUUCUUGUGUCCUCUACAUGUAAACAGUGGUGUUUGAGUAUUAAGAUCCCACAGACGAACACUUAUAUCUCCAGAGCCACUUGCCAAAUGCCGCCCAUCAGGACUAAAAGCAACCGAAAGUACAGGUUCUUUGUGACCAGCAAUGGUUGCUGAACAACGAUUAACUGGACGGAUCCGGAAAACAGCUUGUGGUUGAUAAACAAUGGAAAGUACCUUCUCCACAGAAACUUUAUUUUUCUGUAAGUAAGUUUCAAGUGGAACAAGAAGCUCCUGGUCUGAUAUGUAGAAAGAAUAUGGCAACUUCUCCUUAUUGUGGAGAAGCUCAUUGACGAUUUGUUGAAGCUGUUGAGGACCGGCAUCCUGUGGAAGAAACAAGGGAGCUUCCAAAGCCGUCCCUUCCCGGUCGGUAAGUUGGCACAUCACGUUAUUCACCGUUUCCAUAUCCAUUUUUCUAAUUGAGGGACUGUGCUUAGUGCUUACAAGGCGUUCUCUGUGCCGUUGGAUUGCUACGAAUCGUGGCUUAAAGAUUCCUUUGUUUUUUACUUGUCUCAGAGAAGUGGAACCCCACAUCUAUACCUAUCACAGCAACAGAAUUACCUGGGAGAGGGCAGAGAACGACUUCAAUGGCUACUGAGAGCGAGAGAGAGGAGAGAGCUGGAGACGGUGGUGGUCUGAGAGCGAGAGGAGGCGACUGAGGGUGAGAUGGAGGAGCGAGCCGAAGACGGCGGUGGUGGCUUCUGAGGGCGAGAGAGAGGAGAGAGCUGGAGACGGCGGUGGUCUGAGAGCGAGAGGAGGUGACUGGUGAGAUAGAGGAGCGAGCUGGAGAAGGCAGUGGUAUGAGGGCGGAGCGGAGAGGCCGAGGAGAGAAGAGACUCCCAAUUCUUAAAAAUAGGGCAAACUGUGAUUUUUCAGUUUCUGAUAGAC
rnacentral:misc_RNA from 1 species